AAGUGAUCCUCAUCCUGAACGAUGCUUCCUCCCCGCCACACGCUCUAUUCAUCCUUAUCCUUUCAUCCCACACACACUGACCCAGCCACCGCAGAUGGUGAGCGGAGCCGUGUAGGCCGACCGCCGCAGCUGGCUGUGAUACUCGCCGGCGCCGAGCACCAGGCCGGCGUGCUCCGGGUCCGAGCCGAGCGUCUCCAUCUGCUGUCAUGGGCGGAGGCCGAGGGGCGAGUGACGCGGCGGUCGCCGAGGCCGCCGCCAUCUGCGCGCUAAUCGCCGUCGCCGAGCUGACCGUCCCCGACGCCAUCGGAGUCCGCCAUCGCUCCGAGCUGCGUCUCCUCCGCCGCGCACCUUCGCACCCGUCGUGACGGCGCGGCUGGAGGCGACGGCGGCGUCCAGCACCUUGGCGCCCUCCUCCUCAUGAGCGACGGAACCCUCCUCGUCGUCUCCUCCGGCUUAUCGGACGCCGGGGAAUUUGUCUGUUGCGCGGCCGCCCGGAGGCGAGGGCGCCAUCCUGCACCGCGACACCCUCCGCCGUCAUGUCUCUCCUAGCACGGUGACUAGGCGAUGCCCAUGGGCGACGGGACCCUCCUGCUCGUCUUCUACGGGCGCUGCGGUUGCCGGGAAUUCUAGACCGGCGGCCAUCAUGCGCUAUUUUUUGCUAUCGCUGCUAUGUGUCGCUACUGUCAGGUAGUGAGACGCCUGCAGGUAUUGAGGUGUCUUCCUGUUCUCCUUCUUCUCUUCAUUUUUUUUUUGUGAAAGGGGCUAUGUUAGGUGCAAAUGAUGGCAAUUUUUAGUUGAUGCUCAUAUUCAUUUAUAGUCUAUUUUAGGUGCAGAUGACGACAGAGCUAUUUAGGUGCAGAAGAUGGCAAAUUUGAGUAGAACUUGACAUUUUUUGUGCAGAACAUAGCAAAUUAUCGAACAACUUUUAGUAGAUUUUCCAUUCCUACUAUUUAGUGUACUUAGAUUCUUGACUCACUUGAGUUGAUGUUGACUAGAACAUCGCAAUUCUGUUAAAAAUAUCAUAGGUGGCAAAUUGAGUACAAUGUGACAUUUAUUUUCAUUCUCUACAAUGGAUCAUGGCAAUCCACACACCAUGGCAAUUUUUUCUCUUUUUUUGCCAUGGCAAAUUUGACACUAUUAUUGACAUGGCAUUUUCACUUUUAAUGACAUGGCAAAUUUUAAUUUAUUUUGCCAUGGUCCAUGUGAUAUAUUUGCCAUGUCAAUAUAGUUAAGUUUGCCAUGGCAAGUUCCACGUGUUUUUUGCCAUGGCAAAUUAAGAUGUGUUAUUACGGGGUGUUUUACCGUUAAAAACAAACAAUUUUUUUUGGAAGUUUCUAAAACAUGGCAAUCUUGCCAUCCUUAAAAUAGUUUGCCACCAUUUUCUUCAAAUGUAUGCUAGAUUUUAUUUCUCUAAACGACAAACUUAUUAUAUGGACCAUGGCAAGUUUAAUAUAGCCUGAUGCAUGAAAUGAAUCUAUAGAUGCACUCGUGCUAGCUGCCAUUGGAACAUGGCAAAUUUGUAGAUAAUGUCGAAGAUGGAAAAUUUGAGUAGAAUAUGACAUUUUUUUUGUGCACAACAUGGCAAAUUAUCAAACAAGUUUUAGUAGAUUUCCCAUUCCUACUAUUUAGUGUACUUAGAUUCCUGACUCACUUGAGUUCAUGCUGAGUAGAACAUGACAAUUUUUUUCAAAAUGUCAUAGGUGGCAAACUGACUAGAACGUGACAUUUGUUUUCAUUCUCUACCAUGGCAAAUUUAUUUUGAUGGAUCAUGGCAACUUUUUUACUCCAUUUUUUUGCCAUGGCAAAUUUAAUUCCAUUUAUGCCAUGGAAAAAUUCUUUAAUUAACAUGCUCACAAACAUGCAAACUUGCCAUGGCAAAGUUGUAGGUGUUCAAAACCAUGGCAAACUUUGCCAUGACAACUUAAGGUGUUAAAAUACAUGCCAUGAUCUUGUAGAUGUUCAAAAAUUUAGGAAACUUGCCAUGGCAUUUUAAAAUGUUCAAAAACAUGGCAACCUUUACUAUGUGCAAAAACAUAGUAAGUUCUUUUAAUUAACUUUGUUCAAAAACAUGACAAACUUCUUUAAAUAACUUGUUGAAAAACAUGCAAACUUGCCAUGGCAACUAAAGAUGUUCAAAAACAUGGCAACAUUAUAGAUGUUUAAAAACAUUUGCAAACUUGCCAUGGCAAUGUAAGAUGUCAAAAACAUUUGCAAACUUGCCAUGGCGAAGUUAAUAUGUGCAAAAACAUGGCAACAUUUUUUUUAAUUAAGUUUGUACAAACACAUGGCAAACUUCUUUCACUAAGAUGUUCAAAAAAUAUAGCAAACUUGCCAUGGCAACAAAAGAUGUUCAAAAACAUGGUAACCUAAGAUGUACAAAAACUUGGCAAACUUGCCACGGCAACUUCUUCCUUUUUUGUGAACUUCGUAGUGUUGGCAACUUCUUUAUUGUAAAGAUGCAGAUUUGCUAUGACUUCUUCCUUUUUACGCCAUUUAUGAAAACAUAAAGUUGAACAUGGCAAUUUCUUUAAUAGAAUGGCAAAAGACCAUGGAAAUUUUGCCGUGCAGAAGUCUAGUAGUUCAUUAGUUUACAGAAAAACUGUUGCUAAAAAAAGUACAGAAAAACUGGGCGUUUUUACUAGUCAUAACUUAACAUGGGCCUUUAUUCACAGAAAAAAAGGCCUAUAGGGCCCGGUGGAUGGGGCGUUCGCGCUGGUUCGUUCUUCUCCCGAACGAAAUCGUCGUUCGGUCGAUGCCCCUGCCCUCCCGAACGAGUCGUUCGGGCCGGGGUGUCUACAGCCCGAACGUCCGGUACUUAUCGGCGUCCUUAAUUAAUUAAGGGAAAAGCUUACCUUUAGCCGGCCGAUCGCGUGGGCGUGUCCGCCAGCUCUGUGUCCGUCAGAUCUUUUGUUGAUCAGAUGGACGAGACCAUCCCGUGUCCAUGUGUUUUUGCAACUCAGCCUUUGUUUCAAAAAGAGAGUUUUGAAACUGCAUGGCUUUUUUCAACCGCGGUGACUCGUGCGGCCGGUAGGAUGAUGGCGGCGAGGAAUCUCGCCGGAUCCGACGAGGAUGGCACGCGGGCAGGAGGCAGGGACGUCCGGGAGCCGUGUGGGCGGAGACUCAUGCGGCUAGGAGCGCGGCGAUAGCGAGGAUUCCAGCCAAAUCUCGUCGUAUCCGACGAGGAUGACCCACGGGCAUGAGGUAUGGACGCCUAGGAGCGGUGGGAGCUCGUGUCGGGCGAGGUCUUGCGGGGUUGACGGCGAGCUUCACAGCAAGGACCCGCGAUGACACCGGCGAACGGCGCUCCUGCGGCGUGAGAUACAGAGAGAUGAAGAAAACGGAAGGAAGAGGAGGAUGGUGGCGAGGUGACUUUGGUCGGAGAUCCGGUGCUCACCGGCGGCGGCGCGAAGGCGGGUACGGGCGGCGCCGAUCCUCCCUCACCACCAUCCGGCGAAGCUCGCGGUGAACGACGUUUUCGGGGAGCAUGUUUCUGAAUAAAGCUCUUGUUGCAAUAGUCAGCUUGUUUGUGAUACAAAGCUCUUGUUGCAAAGAGGAAGCAUAUGUAGAAAUCUUUAAAAUUCUGUAACAAGACCUUUGUUGCAAAAAUUC
rnacentral:rRNA from 1 species